CUUUCGGUGGAAGGUGUAUAUACUCAACAUUACUUCUUUUUCAGCGUGUUUUCUUACGGGAGUCCCACACCGCCCAAAACUAAUACAGUAUUCUUGUUUAUAAAGAAGUGCACCACUUCAAUUGUUGUCCCUUCGGGGACAUCCGAUAAAAUUGGAACGAUACAGAGAAGAUUAGCAUGGCCCCUGCGCAAGGAUGACACGCACAAAUCGAGAAAUGGUCCAAAUUUUUUUUGAAAUUUCUCUGGUUAGGUUUCUUUCCUUCUUAACACUUUGAUUUCCCUUCUUCUUCCUAUGGUUAUGGCCUGUGUUUUAGUUUACAUCUUUUGCACGAAGAACCAUUCCGCAAAUAUCAACCCCCACACUCCACCGUGCAAAUUCUGAAUGAUUGCAACAAACUCACUGCGUCAUUUCCCCAAACACCUUGCAAACCAAGCCCUGGUGUUGGUAAUCAAAGACCUCCCAUUCGAUGCCCCCCCCCCCCACCGUCACCCCUCCAUGGUCAAACGACGCCGUCACAGAGGUUCUCCGUUCCAUCUCCCACUACACACUCCAAUUCCCUCGCUCCAUCGGCCGCCAGCACACCUUCCGCCACCGCACCCCUCUCCGUCAGCGCAACCUCAACCUCGAACACCGCAAGCUCCGCAAUAACACCCUCCUCCUGGGCCCCACGGCCCACCUCGACCCCUACAAAGCCCACCACCUGGGCCCACUCAAAGCCCUCGAGUUCUUCCACUGGCUCGAAUCCCGCUUCAACUUCCCCCACUCCGAGCCCACGUGCCGCGAACUCGCCUGCCUCCUCGCCCGCGCCACCGCCCUCAAACCCCUCUGGCACUUCCUCAAACACUCCCCUCACGUGACCACCGCCACCGUCACGUGCCUCAUCAAACUCCUCAGUGAACAAGGCCUCGCCGACGAAGCACUUCUCACCUUCCACCGAAUGAAGCAGUUCCGCUGCAGACCCGACACUCACUCCUACAAUACCCUAAUCCACGCGCUCUGCCGCGUCGGGAACUUCGCAAAAGCCCGCUCCAUUCUCCAGCAGAUGGAGCUCCCCGGUUUCCGGUGCCCACCGGAUACCUUCACUUACUCCAUCCUCAUAAGCUCCUACUGCCGGCAUGGAAUCCUCACUGGCUGCUGGAAGGCCACAAGGAGGCGAAUAUACGAGGCCGGGCGAUUAUUCCGGUUGAUGCUCUUCAGAAAAUUGGUUCCUGAUGUCGUCACUUACAAUGCCCUAAUUGAUGGGUGCUGUAAGACUUUGCGCAUGGAGAGGGCGCUGGAGCUGUUCGAUGACAUGAAAAGGAGUGGCGUUGUUCCGAACCGUGUUACUUAUGGGUGCUUUGUUAGUUACUAUUGUGCUGUGAAUGAGAUUGAUAAGGGUGUUGAGAUGCUGAGGGAGAUGCAGAGGCUGGGGGACGGGGUUGCUAGUUCAAGUCUGUAUACACCCAUCAUUCAUGCGCUUUGCGAAGCUGGGAGGGUCGUUGAGGCUUGUGGGUUUCUUGUUGAGUUGGUUGAGGGAGGGUCCAUGCCGAGAGAGUACACUUAUGGGUUGGUUUGUGAUGCGCGGCCGGGGAGGGUGGUUUGUUCGAGGAUGGUGAUGGUUAUGGUGAUGGGAUGCACAAGAGAAUUAAGGAUGGGAUAUGGAAUAGGUAUAGGCAAAUAAUGAAGGUGAAACCCGUUAUGCGUCGCAAGGGCUAUCCCGAAAUGGAGGAACCAGUUUGAGUUUGAAUGCUUGAAUCUAGUGUUGAGUUGGAUUUGAAUUUCUGCUAGUGAAGUCAAUCAAGAGUGUGGUUUUCUUCAAAUGAUUAUUAUUGAGCUAGUGGGGGGAUCUUUGAUUCUUCAGAUGCAGGCAAGUCCAAUGUUCAGACAAGGAAUUUUCGUAAUUGGCAGAUCCACAGUUGCAAGGUCACUGCCCAGGAUCUGGUCUAACGAUGGCCAUUGAAUUUGCAUCCAUGUAUUUCGAGAAAAGCCACGUCACCAGCCUGAUGUUAACACAUUAGCUCUAGAUUACUUGUCAUCUGAGCAGCAUGCCCCCAAAGUAUCCAUGAGGAACCAAAUAGGUUGAGAAAUUGAACUUUUAAUUCUCCUGUAACUACAUGCCCCAGAGUAUCAAAGAUAAUGUGUUGUAAUCACAUCCUUCAAGAAUACAAGGGAGAAAGGAUAUCCCUUAAAGCUGAUGAGAAGUGGCUGGUAUCGAAAAGGUAUAGGAACAGUGAGGACACUUCAGAAGAUAAUGUGUUAAAGAUUUAAAUGUACUAAAUAGAAUUGGGUUGGCCAGCUUUUUCUAAAGUACAGUUUAAGCACUUAUAACUAAACCAAUGGGGGUAGGAUCAGCCCAAGGAUAAACAAGAGCUAAAGCAAAUUUCAAAAGAAUUCUUUCUCUGAA